rnacentral:rRNA from 1 species
AACGAACGCUGGCGGCAUGCCUAACACAUGCAAGUCGAACGAGAACUUCGGGCCUAGCGGCGCACGGGUGAGUAACGCGUGGGAACCUGCCCUUAGGUUCGGAAUAACUCUCCGAAAGGGGUGGUAAUACCGGAUAAUGCCUUUGGACCAAAGAUUUAUCGGCUGAGGAUGGGCCCGCGUUGGAUUAGCUAGUUGGUAGGGUAAAAGCCUACCAAGGCGACGAUCCAUAGCUGGUCUGAGAGGAUGAUCAGCCACACUGGGACUGAGACACGGCCCAGACUCCUACGGGAGGCAGCAGUGGGGAAUAUUAGACAAUGGGCGAAAGCCUGAUCCAGCAAUGCCGCGUGAGUGAUGAAGGCCUUAGGGUUGUAAAGCUCUUUUACCCGGGAUGAUAAUGACAGUACCGGGAGAAGAAGCUCCGGCUAACUCCGUG